rnacentral:sRNA from 1 species
AACCCCGCGCUAUGCGUGGGGUUCCGUAAAGCUUAUAGCUAUGGUAAGAGAAACCCUCCGUUUGUUAAAAUAAACUUGCGGCCUGACAACUGCAAGGAAACAAACAGAGGG